CAUGAGGACAUACCCACCACAAACCCAUCAGCCCAACGUCAGCAGCGGUUGAACGAGACAUCUACGUUGGUGGUCUCGGGGACUCCUGCAGGCCGGUAGCCCCCUGGUAGACGUGCCAGACCUCAACAUCUGGCGCCCGAACAGGGACCUGAGUAUGAGAGGUACAGUGAUGCACCCCAAAUCAGAGGAGACAAGGUAAAGCUGUGGUUCUUGUAGUUCUGGACUCAAAAUUCAUCUGGAGUAAAAAAAUGGAGCAGUGUGAGUCCAGAAAUCAGUCUGUGUUUUUAAUGUUGAUGCAUCAAAUGUUAAGAAAUAGAGGUGCCGAUGUAAAAAUGAAACGUGUUUCUAAGUUUUUAGAGAUUGUCUAUGUAUUGUGUCCAUGGGUCCCUGAGGAGGGAUCCUUAGAUGAAUCUACGUGGAGUAAAAUAGGAACUAAGAUUGAGGAAUAUGCCGCCACUCAUCAAUCUUCCCCGCAGGCAGAGCUGCUGCUUUCAGUUUGGCCAAAGCUGCACCAGGCUGUCUGCCUGCCUUUCUGCAACACAGCAAACGCUGACACUCACUGCUCUCCUGCUGCUUCUCUUGCUUCUAAUCCCUCUUCCUCUUACAAAUCUAAACCUGAUGAUGGGGGCGGGGGGAGGGUGGCUGUAAUUUACCACCUUGUAAUCCUCUAAACGAGCUCGAUUCCGCCCUCGGAUUCAGACCUGGAGCUGGAAAUGGAGGAGCUUGGGACGCCCCUGAGCAAUUUUUCAGGCUCCUGGCUUUGCUUUCUAAACCUGCUCAAGCUUUUCCUGUGGUUACUACGCCUUCCUUUAGACACUGGAGCAGAUGUUUCUGUAACUUCCUCAGAGUUUUGGCCCCCUGCAUAACCUGUCACACAGGCUGUCCCUGCAGGGCAUAGGCACUUCCUCUAACCCUUAUCAGUUCUCUCAGCUGUUAUCUUGGUCAGAUAAUAGAGCUGGUCCAGGAACAGCUCGCAGCUGGCCAUUUAAAACAUUCUAAUAGUCCAUGGAAUACUCCUAUUUUUGUCAUUAGAAAGAAAUCUGGUAAAUGGAGACUCUUACAAGACCUUAGGAAAGUAAAUGAAAUUAUGGAAGUCAUGAGACCUCUACAACCUGGUCUCCCUUCACCUGUUGUUGUUCCUCAAAAUUGGGAAUUACUAGUUAUUGAUUUGAAAGAUUGCUUCUUUUCCAUCCCCUUAGCACCUCAAGAUUGCUGCAGGUUUGCCUUCAGUGUUCCUGCAACCAAUUUUGACAGGCCUUUUGAACGCUAUGAGUGGACUGUUCUACCCCAAGGUAUGGCGAAUAGCCCCACCUUGUGUCAGAAAUUUGUUGCUCAGGCAGUUGCGCCCCUCCAUGAGUGCUACCUGGAUGUUCUUUUGCUACAAUAUAUGGAUGAUCUUCUUUUGGCUGCUCCUUCCCCUGUCCUCCUACAGGAAGCCUUUCGGGAUUUAAGCAACCUCCUUACAAAUUCAGACUUAGUUAUAUCUCCUGAUAAAGUCCAAAAGGUGACUCCUUUCCAUUACUUAGGUCGCCUCAUUGACUCCAAUCAAGUGUCCUCUAAGACUCCUGUCUUAUCUACUGCCCAUCUCAGUACAUUAAAUGAAUUCCAAAAGUUUUUGGGAGACAUUAAUUGGAUCAGACCUAGACUUAAAUUAACUACUGGUCAGCUCAAGCCUCUUUUUGAUAUGUUCAGAGGCCCUGCAGACCCAAAGUCUCCCUGGACACUUACUGAUGAGGCUAGACAUGCCUUGCAAUUGGUGCAAGAUGCUGUCUCAGAACAAAAACUAAACUGUGUCUCUAUUGGGGUAUCUUGGUGUUUAUGCGUUUUACGCACCUCCUACACCCCCACAGGCCUCUUCUGGCAAAAGGGAAUCUUGGAGUGGCUCCAUCUGUCUGCCAGUCGGCCUCGCAACGUUACUCCUUAUCAUGAAUUAGUGUCCAUGCUAAUUGCCAAAGGCUGCCUCAGGGCACUUGCUUUCUUUGGCUCUGACCCGCCUCUCAUAAUUGUUCCUUACACCGCCCAAGAACAGUCCUGGUUAUGGUCAUUCUCUGACUCGUGGCAAAUAGCUCUUGCAGGUUUCUCAGGGCAACUUUCCUGUCAUUAUCCCAAAGACAAAAUAUUGCAUUUUUAUUCUCAAUAUAAUCUCAUUUUUCCCAAAACUUGUUCUUUGCAGCCAAUUUCUCAGGCCGCUUUGGCAUUUACAGACGGUUCCUCAAACAGACUUGCUGCUGGACAGAUUGAUGAUGUUCCCUUUUCUUUCCAGAUGCCUGAAACUUCCACCCAAAGGGUGGAAUUGCUUGCUGUUCAACAUGUGCUCUCUACUUGUGGUCAAUAAGUUAAUAUAUACUCUGACAAUCAAUAUGUAGUUAACUUGAUUAAUCUGCUGGAGACAGCACCCCUGUCAUUCUCUGACAGUUCUGCUAUAAUACACCUACUUAUUCCUUUACAGCAGACUAUCCGCAAGUGGACUCAUCAAUUUUUUAUUGGCCAUAUUCGUGCACAUACUAACAAGGCUCACGUAGCCUGCAACUGCAGUUUCAUAUCACCAGAGAACAGGCUCGUGCCAUUGUUAAGCAAUGCCCUGCUUGUGUCUCACUUGCCUCAAACUACUCACACUGGAGUAAACUCUCGUGGCCUACAGCCUGGCCACAUCUUUCAGAUGAAUGUCACCCAUAUUGCUUCUUUUGGUCAUUUAAAAUAUGUGCAUGUAACUAUUGACACUUUUUCUCAUUUCAUAGUAGCUUCAGCCCAUACAGGAGAGGCAGCAGUCAAGGACGUGACUGCUCAUUGUCUACUCGUGUUUUCCAGCCUAGGUGCACCAAAGAUUUUGAAGACUGAUAAUGCUCCAGCUUAUACCAGUUCUUCAUUCCAAACCUUUUGUUCUCAAUUUCAGGUGAUUCAUAAGACAGGAAUUCCCUAUAAUCCUCAGGGACAGGGAAUUGUUGAACAUGCUCAUGCCACCCUUAAAACUUUAUUACUUAAACUAAAUAAUUCACCUCCUUCCUUUUACAAGUCUCCACAUGAUGUACUUCAGCAUGCUCUUUAUGUUCUAAAUUUUUUAACCCUUGAUGCCCAGGGCCACUCAGCAGCUGAUUGUUUCUGGCACCCAAGGGACUCAGCCACGCCUAUGGUGUUAUGGAAAGAUUUUUUCUCUAAUCAGUGGAAUGGCCCUGACCCAGUGUUAGUUUGGGGCAGAGUUCACGUUUGUGUUUUUUCUAGAUCUGCCCCCUCACCUAUCUGGGUACCUGAAUGACAUGUCAAGCAUGCCCCAAAGAGGACAGUCCUCUCCAAGACCAGUGACCAUCCCAUUUCCCCAACUGACAUCUCCCCAUCAGCCGUGCCCUCAGAUGACUUCACUGAACUCCCUUCUCCCGAGAAUCCGACGUCUACAUCUGCAGAGGACAACGCCCCACUGUGCCCAUCACCCUCGGCACCAGCUGGCGCCUCCUCAAGAAGUCCCAGUCCUGACCUGGACCCAGAUGCAACGCCUGGUGACUGAUGCGUCGCACAUUGUUUGUCAGUAAGGACACUCUCUUAAUCCGGCUACUCUGUUUUUAGCCAUGCUAGCUGUUUUGUCCUGUGAUCCUAUGUUGGCACGUUCUGUGUCCACUUAUGAUUCCCCUGAUGCUUUUUGGGCCCAUGUCCCUGAUCCUCCUUUACUCCGCCCUGUUACUUGGGAUGACCCUGGCUUUCUUAACGACACCUCAAUAUUUGGCACCCCUUCAGCCACUCAUAUCUAUCCUCAAUCAGCAAAUUACACCUUCUUUGGUCAAUCCAUUUCUCCUCCUAUGUGUUUCCAUGCUGCCAAACUGCACCUAUGCCCUUUUGCUAGGGCCAGCGUCUUUUCAUGUUCAAAAUGGUCAUUAUACUAUUUCCUGUUUAAAUUGCCUACUCACAAAUUGUAUUGAUGCUCUCCAUGUUCCCUGUUGAUACAAUUCUUGUUGUUAUGCUCCCUGUAAAUAUUUCAGGUCCUUGGUAUGAUGAGCAUUCAUACUCUCUGUUCUACAAAACCCAAUCUCUGUUCCUUUGACGCCUAAAACGUUUCCUUGGUUAUGCUCAUUGCUGGAAUUGUUGCCAUUGUGUCUGUAAUAGCUUCUACAGCUACAGCUGCUGUCGGUCUUACUAAAUCUGUUAAUACUGCUGUAUAUGUGAAUCACUUAGCAAAAAAUGCUUCUAUUGCUAUGAGAACUCAAAUGUCUAUUGAUGACAAAUUAGAAGCUAAACUGAAUGCCUUAGAGCAAACUGUAACCAUACUAGGGGACAAGGUGUAUAACUUACAAAAUAAACUUUCACUUUACUGUCAUGCUCAUUAUAAAUAUAUAUGUGUUACCAGCGGUCCUUACAAUGAUUCCCAGUGGCAGUGGCCACUUAUUAAGGCCCAUUUACAGGGCAUCUGGUCUUAUAACAAUCUCUCUCUUGACAUCUCACAUUUGCAGCAAGAAAUUUCGGCCAUUGACCUUUCUUGGUCACAAUUACCUGAUGAUGACUCUAUUGCUAACAGUUUUGUUGAUGCCAUGUCCUCUUGGGUACAACAGUUUCAUAUCCCCUCCUUUUCAUCACUGCUUGCCAUUGCUGCUUGUCUUCUUGUAUUGCUGAUGUGCUUGCCAUGUAUCUUCCACCUCUUGUUCUCCACCCUCCGAGAAGUGCAAUUAAAAGUGUUUGCCCUUCAUUUGCAAAGUAAAAAAACUGGGAGAUGGCAGUGUUCACACCAAGGGCUUGAGACAGUAGCGUGACUCGCCCCAUCUUGGCUGCUGGACCUAUCUGCUCUCUCUCCCCGCUCUGGAGGGCUGUCGAGUUGAGGGGAGAAUGGCUAAGCCACUGAGGCAAAAAACAGAAUGCAGAGUAAGGGCCUGCGGUUUAUGAGGACAUUGUGCUGGCUACUUUAUAUCCCCUUUAGUCUCUGUGUAAGCAAUAGGCUUGCUGCAAUUGAGAUACCUGAGAGGGGCAAAAGACCCCUGCCCAUAUUUUCUCAGGAGCUGAGCCUUUGCUCUACCUCCUGAUGGAAACAUAGUUAACAAGCCACCUUAAGGGAACCAUUGUUUGUUUGCACUGUGUAUCUUUGAAAAACAUAUAUUAACUCUUGAACUGCUUUGUAAGCUAUUAUCACAAGCCCCCUUGAAACUGUUUUGUGAGCUGUUAUCACAGGCCCCUGAUAACUAUUUUUGCAUGAUUUCUGUUCCUUUUUCUGUCUGCCCCCUUUUUCUGCUGAGCUAAAGUAAAUGCUGAGCUAAAGUAAAUGUAACAAGAAAAAAGGUAUAAAAGCUGUCACCCACAGAAAUAAAGUUGCUGCUUGACUGCAAGUAGACCUCCAGACUCCACUUUCCUAUAUUCUUUCACUUCCACAUGCUCUCUCCCUCAGGUUGAAUGAGACAUCUACGUUGGUGGUCUCGGGGACUCCCGCAGGUCGGUAGCCCCCUCGCAGAUGUGCCGGACCCCAACAGGACACAGUAGCCAGCAGAGGUGGCCUGGGUACAGGCCAGGGCGAGCCCUCCAGGUUUCCUGUGGCUGAGAACGGCACUGCAGGGGCACUCCAGGUCUCCACAUUGAGGGAGCGCGGAAAGGUCACUGCAGGCUUCUGGAUGACCCAGGGACCAUGUGCUGUGUGCAUGAGGCUGGGGCUGAGCUCCAGGGGAUGUCCUCACACCCACCGCGCUGACACCAGAAACAGCAAAACUCCCUCCUCCAAAGCGCCCCCAGCACCCACUGCUGGCAGAGCUCAGCCUCGCCCUCCCCGCUGCAAGGAGCGAUUCAGGAUCCCCUCCAGGACCUGCAGAACAUGGCAUGCUGGGGGCUCUGGAGCAGAGCAGUGUAGCUCAAUAACCAAGGCUCAGAUCCAUGAGCACUGGGAUCAGUACAAACCUGAUCGUUUUUCUUUUCUUUUCUGAGAUGGUCUGGCUCCAUUACCCAGGCUGGAGUAAAGGUGGUACAAUCACAACUCACUGCACCCUCCACCUCCCCAGCUCAGGCAAUUCUCCCACCUCAGCCUCCUGCAGCUGGGAUCACAGGUGUGUGCCACUGUGCCCGGCUAACUUUUGUAUUUUAGUAGAGACAGGGUUUCACCAUGGCCAGGAUGGUCUCGAUCUCCUGCCCUUGAGAUCUGCCCACCUCGGCCUCCCAAAGUGCUUGAAUUACAGGCGUGAGCCACUGCGCCUGUACUUUUUCUUUUUGAGACGGAGUUUCACUCUUGUUGCCCAGGCUGGAGUCCAAUAGCGUGAUCUCAGCUCACCACGAACUCCAUCUCCUGGAUUCAAGCGAUUCUCCUGCCUCAGCCUCCCAAGUAGCUGGGAUUAGAGGCACUCGACACCACACCCAGCUAAUUUUUGUAUUUUUAGUAGAGACGAGUUUCACCAUGUUGGCCAGGCUGAUCUCGAACUCCUAACCUCAGGUGAUCUGCCCACUUCAGCCUCCCAAAGUCCUGGGAUUACAGGUGGGAGCCACCACACCCAGUCAUGUUUUAUUUUUGACUGAGUCUUGCUAUGCUGUCCUGGCUGGUCUCCAACUUCUAUGCUUAAGCAAUCCUCCUGCCUCCACCUCCCAACAUGCUGGUAUUAUAGGAGUGAGCCACUGCACCCAGACGAUUUUUCUAUCAUAAUUGCAUACCCAAUUUUUUUUAAAGAGACGGGGUCUCCCUAUGUUGCCCAGGCUGGAGUGUAGUGGCUAUUCACAGGUGUGAUCCCACUGCUGAUCAGCACCGGAGUUUUGACCUGCUCCAUUUCCGGCCUGGGCCAGUUCACACAGGGCCCCCUGUGUCCCAAGGCCAUUCCUGGCAGUCCCGCCACAGCUGUGUCCUCAGGCCUGGUGUGGCAUUUGCUGUCACAGGUUGCUCCCUAGAGUUUGUCCUCACCCCUCCAACCUGCCGCACCCCACCGUCUCAUUCCCGCGAACACAUUCGGCAUAGUCCAGGAGGCUGGGGUCUGAGACGGCAGUGCCCAGCAACCCUGCCACGCAGGAGGUGCACAGCACAUGCUCAACAAUGGGCAGAGGGAAUACCUGUCAGCUUCCACUGCGUAGGCACAGGCCCAUGUCUCUGUCUCUGUUUCUGUGUGUGUGUCUGCGGGUGUCUCUGUGUCUGUGUGCGUCUUUCGAGGUGUGUGUGUGCCUGUGUGACUAUGUUUCUGUAUGUGGCUCUGUGCAUGUGUUUCCAUGUGUCUUUGUGUAUCUCCGUGUGUGUGUGUGUGUGUGUAUGCAUCUGUGUGGGUCUCUGUGUUUGUGUGUAUCUGUGUGUGUCUGUCUUCAUGUGCAUGCAUGUGUGUCUGUGUCUGCCUCCACCUGUCUUUGUGUGUGCAUGUGUGUGCAUAUAUGUGUAUGCAUGCAUGUGCACGUUAAUGGGAGUAUGAGCUUGACAUGCUGUGCAUGUGUGUGUACAUGUGUGUCUGUGUGUGCAUGCUCAUUGGAGUAUGGUUUUGGCUAUGCUGUGUGCAUGAGUGUGUAUGUGUGUGUGCAUGCUCAUGGGAGUAUGCGCUUGGCUGUACUGUGUGUACAUGUGUGUGCAAGCAUGUGUAUGUGUGUGCCGGUAUGUGCACUCAUGGGAGUAUGGGCUUGGGUGUGCUGUAUAUGCAUAUGUGUGCAUGCGUGUGUGUGUGCACACUUGGGAGUAUGGUUUGGCUGUGUGCAGUGUGUGUGCAUGCAUGUGUGUGUACACACUCAUGGGAAUAUGGGCUUGGCUGUUCUGUGUAUGCAUGUGUGUGUGUGCACGCUCAUGGGAGCAUGGGCUGUGCUGUGGGUGCAUUUGUGCGUGUGUGCACACUCAUGGGAGCAUGGGCUGUGCUGGUGCAUGUGUGUGUAUACCUGUGUCUGUGUGCACGCUCAUGGGGUGUGUGGGCUUGGUGUGCUGUGUGCGUGAGUGUACACGUGUAUCUGUUUGCACGCUCAUGGGGUGUGUGGGCUUGGUGUGCUGUAUGCAUGUGUGUGUAUACAUGUGUCUGUGUGCAUGCUCAUGGGGUGAGUGUGGUCUGCACGCUCAUGGGCUGAGUGUGGGCUUGGUGUGCUGUGUGCAUGUGUAUGUAUACAUGUGCCUGUGUGCACACUCAUGGGGUGAGUGUGGACUUGGUGUGCUGUGUGCAUGUGAGUGUACAUGUGUGUCUGUGUGUGUAUGCUCGGGUGUGUGGGCUUAUUGUGCUGUGUGCAUGUGAGUGUACAUGUGUAUCUGUGUGCACGCUCAUGGGGUGAGUGUGGGCUUGGUGUGCUGUGUGCAUGUGAGUGUACAUGUGUGUCUGUGUGUGUAUGCUCGGGUGUGUGGGCUUAUUGUGCUGUGUGCAUGUGUGUAUACAUGUGUCUGUGUGUGCAGGCUCAUGGGGUGAGUGUGGGCUUGGCGUGCUGUGUGCAUGUGUGUACACGUGCGUCUGUGUGCACACCCAUGGGGUGAGGGUGGGCUUGGUGUGCUGCCUGUGGCUCUGAGUGCCUGUGGUUUUUCUUCUCAAUGAGCCGGGCUGCCUGGAAUGUUGAGUCACCAGAAUGGCAGCCUACAUCAGGUCCUCAGUGUGGGCAUGGGGCCAACUGACCCCUCUCGCUCCACCCUGCCUCCGAGAGGAAGACAGUCCAGAGCACUGGUUUGCUGGGGGCUUGGCCAGGGCACAGCGAUGCCAGGGGCUUUGUUUUGUCCUGGUCUGUCCUCUUUCCAGAGGGAAAAAUGCCAGGCCAGGCUGGGAGCUAAGUCACAUACUCUCAACUCUGGCCAUGUCCCCGGCUAGCAAGGGCUCCACAGUCCCAGCCUAGGAAGGGGCAGGAGGGGCACAGGUCAGUGGCCACAGGAGGAGCAGGUGGUCUGGUCACUGCUGGUCCUGCUUUCUCCUGUGGCUGUUUCUUGCUGAGGACCUAACAGGCAGGAGCAGGUAAGAGGCCUGGGGGCCUCCACAGCCUUUUGCUCCUUGCCCAGGGCCCCAGGGAGGUCAGCUGCCCCCGUGGCGCUCUCAGACCACAGCCUCUGGUCUGCAGGUCGGUUGGCUGGAGCUGCUGCCCAGAGAGGGAAGGCUCUGCAGGGCGUGUGACGUGCCCUGCCCUGAGGCUGUUGUGUGCAUCAGGUACCCCUCUGGGCCUGUAGCGGACCUGGCUCCCCUCCCAGGCCCUUCCAGACCCAAGGGCUGACUCUGUCCCCCACACCCGAACUGCUGUCUGUCAUCCUCCCUCCACAGGGGAGAGAGAGAACAGGGAGUGUGACCGAGGGAGCCAGAGAGGGAGCCAGAGACGGCAGAGGCCAAGGUCCCAGGGUGUGUGAUGGAGACAGACCCGCCGGCAGGCCGCCAGCACUAAUAUAAACCAGUUGGAAAAACAGGAGGAGAGGCCAGCAGAGGCUAGGUCUUGAGGCUGGCCAGGUGGGGCUUGUUUUUCCAGAAUCAAAAGCCCAGGGAGGGAGCCAGGCUGUCCAGGCAAGUUCAACCCAGAAGCUGGUUUGGAAAGGGGCUCCGCCCACCUGGCCAGCCACGAGUCUGACAGGUUCUGGGGGCUGGGAGUGGGGGUCUUGUGUCCUAACAAGGUCCCGGUCCCAGCCCUGCCCGUAGCCGCCCCCCCCACCACACCCUCUCACUGGGGCAGCAGCAGGGUUCCUCCCCUUGCCCUGAGACCAAGACUGAUCAGACUGGGUUUCCCACUGUCCGAGAACUUGGGGAGGACUUGGGGACCAGAGCGGGGCUCAGGGGUGAGUCCCCCACCCACCGGGGCUAUAAGGAGCACUCACUCCAAGUGGGCGGGCUGAACUCUGGGCUGAAUGUUUCUUGUGGUUGUUCAGAGUUUUUUUUUUUUCUUGAGGUUUGCUUAACUAGAAGGCGUGGGUUUGGUACACAGUGUGGCUCUGUCAUUUUGCAUUUGUUUAUGUGACUUUGUGAGUUUUCCCAGAGUUUCAAAUUUGUGCCUUCUGUGGUGGGAUCCCACUCUCCCCUUCCUGCAGGAACCCCUAACCUGGGACCUGGUUUCAGGGACAGCAGGACAGCCCUGGGGGACAGGGCCAGCAGGGGAAAGGUAUGCCACACUCAGGACCCCCAGGCCUCAUAGUACUCAGGGCAACCCCCCCCUCAGCUGACUCUGCAGGUUGUAAAGGGGAUGACUGGCCAGCAGUGUCCAGCAUCCUGUCCCAAGAGAGUCCACUGUGGCCCCUGAGGAGAUGGUAAUAAGGUCAUGCUGGCUAAGGGUUGGAGCCGGAAGGGAAUCUGGUCUGAAGGAGGGUGCCAGGGCGUACAGUGGGUUGGGGGGGGUCCCUGCACCAGAGGACUUUCUGGGGCCUGGAGCAGGCAAGGGGAGGCCCCUGCCCUGAGGUGGCUCACAUGGGGGGAAGCCAGAGGCAAAGCCAAGGGGACACCGGACAGUCCCAGCUCUGCGCAGUCCAGAAGGCUCCCAGAUGUCAGACACGCCCAUACAGCAUCAGGGACCCACGCCCUCCGACUGUCUUGUCCCUCCAAGGGUGGGGUCAGUACCCCCUCCCCAGGCCUGACCAAAGAACGGCUGGGCCUCUGCUCCCACACUGCCCCUCCCCAAUAGCACAGCAAGGAUGGGGAGCUGAGGGGCCCGGGAGGAGCCAGAGGGGGCGGUCCUCAGGCAGCUGACCGGCCCAGGGUUCCGUGAUGUCACCGCGGGUGCUAAGGAGGGGGAGGGGUCGAGCUGUUUUUCUGGAGACAGACUUAGAGCUGAGUGGGACCAAGCCUGGGGCUGGACGGGGGGCCAUGGCGCUGCCACCCCGAAUCCUGCUUUGGAAACUGGUGCUUCUGCACAGGCCUUCGGGGCCCUCCGCAGCCGGCAGUUCUGUGGUGUCGGAGUCCGCAGUGAGCUGGCCGGCGGGCGCCCGGGCGGUGCUGCGCUGCCAGAGCCCGCGUAUGGUGUGGACCCAGGACCGGCUGCACGACCGCCAGC